CAGCUAGUUGGUGAGGUAACGGCUCACCAAGGCGACGAUCAGUAGCUGGUCUGAGAGGAUGAUCAGCCACAUUGGGACUGAGACACGGCCCAAACUCCUACGGGAGGCAGCAGUGGGGAAUAUUGGACAAUGGGCGCAAGCCUGAUCCAGCCAUGCCGCGUGAGUGAUGAAGGCCCUAGGGUGUGUAAAGCUCUUUUGUGCGGGAAGAUAAUGACGGUACCGCAAGAAUAAGCCCCGGCUAACUUCGUGCCAGCAGCCGCGGUAAUACGAAGGGGGCUAGCGUUGCUCGGAAUCACUGGGCGUAAAGGGUGCGUAGGCGGGUCUUUAAGUCAGGGGUGAAAUCCUGGAGCUCAACUCCAGAACUGCCUUUGAUACUGAGGAUCUUGAGUUCGGGAGAGGUGAGUGGAACUGCGAGUGUAGAGGUGAAAUUCGUAGAUAUUCGCAAGAACACCAGUGGCGAAGGCGGCUCACUGGCCCAAUACUGACGCUGAGGCACGAAAGCGUGGGGAGCAAACAGGAUUAGAUACCCUGGUAGUCCACGCCGUAACGAUGAAUGCCAGCCGUUAGUGGGUUUACUCACUAGUGGCGCAGCUAACGCUUUAAGCAUUCCGCCUGGGGAGUACGGUCGCAA
rnacentral:rRNA from 1 species